rnacentral:rRNA from 1 species
CAAUAGCGUAUAUUAAAGUUGUUGCAGUUAAAAAGCUCGUGGUUGGAUUUGUGGCGUACGGUGGGUUCCGGGCACUUGUUGUCUGAGUAACUUGCUGUUGCCAUCCUUGGGUGGAACCUGUGUGGCAUUAGGUUGUCGUGCAGGGGAUGCCCAUCAUUUACUGUGAAAAAAUUAGAGUGUUCAAAGCAGGCUUAUGCCGUUGAAUAUAUUAGCAUGGAAUAAUGAGAUAGGACUUUUUUGCUAUUUUGUUGGUUUGCGCAAAGAGGUAAUGAUUAAUAGGGACAGUUGGGGGUAUUCGUAUUCCAUUGUCAGAGGUGAAAUUCUUGGAUUUUUGGAAGACGAACUACUGCGAAAGCAUUUACCAAGGAUGUUUUCAUUAA